rnacentral:lncRNA from 1 species
ACGUAACGAUACACUGUUAGGGGAAAUCGUUAUUCUGCAACUUGAGAACUGUUAAUUCAGUAUACUGAUACUAAUUCUAACAAAGUUAAUUAUAUACGGAUACUAAUUCUUCAACUUCAUAACUGUCCCACAGAUUCUAAUCUAUUUUAAAUUCAUAACUCCUUCAAUCGUUCCAAAGACACAAACAUUGAUUUUUGUUUGAGUCAAUGUUCGUUACUGCAUUCACAUAACGAUUUUCAACAAAUCAAAGGCAUGGGUGAUCCCCUUUGAUCUGAAUUUCAAGGUGAGAAAAAAUGCAUAGAUCAUCCGUUUGACUAGUAACAAUUAGAUACUUGACUCACGAAACAGUUGUCAGUUUAUUGUCGGAUCGUCAUGAAUUAUGAGAUUUCACGAUGUAUAAACGUUGAGUCAAGAUGUUGAACACUGCUAGCGUAAUGGGGCCUUCCGUAACCAAAAAUGAAGGAGAUGAAUUCAUCGUCAAGCGGUGAACUCUGCGGCGCGCAACGCAAGUCGCUAAACGGUCGGCACGUCAAGGCGAGAAGAAAUAAUGUACUAUCACGUGUACACUUGUGGAUCUCGAAGAUGUGGACAGUGAUUUUGAAAAGGCUAAUUUUUUCCCUAGUUUAUUACGUUGGCAAUGGAGUCUGCCCGAAACGCUACACCGGCCGCAGGCUCAAUCUCUGUAAACAUAACAGAACGCAAGAAUAUAAAAUUCACAUUACAUAAUAUGAGCGUUGACUGAAGAUAUAUAAAGACUGAUAGCCUUAUGGAACUUUUCGUAAUCGAAAAUGGAGAAGAUAAAUUCAUCGUCAAGCAGCGCUCUCUGCGUCCUUUCUUGCACGCGCAACUCAAGUCGAUAAGCGGUCGGAACGUACAGACGACAAAAAUUGAUGUUUCCAUCCUAACUCCAUCGCUCAUCGCGUGUGCCCAGAUAACGCAGAGACGAAUAUUGUUGUGCCUACGGAGUGACGAACGGGAACGGAAUGAAAUUUUCAUACAACUCCGUGUGGACGUCGUAUGCUUUUCAAUUACGCAAAUUCAUUUGGGCCAAAUUCAGCAACGUCAGUCUAACUUCA